rnacentral:rRNA from 1 species
GAUGAACGCUGGCGGCGUGCCUAAUACAUGCAAGUCGAGCGAACAGACGAGGAGCUUGCUCCUCUGACGUUAGCGGCGGACGGGUGAGUAACACGUGGAUAACCUACCUAUAAGACUGGGAUAACUUCGGGAAACCGGAGCUAAUACCGGAUAAUAUAUUGAACCGCAUGGUUCAAUAGUGAAAGACGGUUUUGCUGUCACUUAUAGAUGGAUCCGCGCCGCAUUAGCUAGUUGGUAAGGUAACGGCUUACCAAGGCAACGAUGCGUAGCCGACCUGAGAGGGUGAUCGGCCACACUGGAACUGAGACACGGUCCAGACUCCUACGGGAGGCAGCAGUAGGGAAUCUUCCGCAAUGGGCGAAAGCUUGACGGAGCAACGCCGCGUGAGUGAUGAAGGUAUUCGGAUCGUAAAACUCUGUUAUUAGGGAAGAACAAAUGUGUAAGUAACUAUGCACGUCUUGACGGUACCUAAUCAGAAAGCCACGGCUAACUACGUG